rnacentral:ncRNA from 2 species
CGUAGGUGAACCUGCAGAAGGAUCAUUA